AUGAACAAUGGUGCACCCCAAAGGAGUGAACAUGGGAACACAUGUGCAUUUUGGUAUUUUUGUUUUGGCUAAAAUCUAAAUGCACUUGUGUUCUCAGGUCACCCCUUUUGGGUCACCUUGCUUCUUCUUCUUUUUUAUAUUUUUUUUAUUCGAUGAUAUAUUAGAAUCAGAUUUUCUAUAUACAUAAAAUAAGGAUAAGAUCUGCAUACAUACUAUUCUCCUCCGACCUCACUUGUGAUAUUAAAAUGGCUGCAUUGCCGUCCCAAUUAAUUCAAACUUUCGCCACACAAGAUCUAUUAAAGGGAAAAAGCUUCAAUUCGGAAGACUCUAAUACAAGACAUUUACUUUAAGAUGGAAGGAAUUUUAUCCAUUCACUACAACUCGUGAUGUUUAUGAAAAACGUCGUCAAAUUAUUUUUCAUAAAAAGUUCAUCCAAAGAGCUGGAUUUCGUCAACUGCAGCACCUCCAGCUCCAAGAAGCCGCUAAUAGCUUGUUUAUUUCAGAUGGCCUUUCAGCCGAUUUUUUGGUUGAAAUUUCCAGAAAUUCCAAUAGUGUCUUUCAUUAAAUACAUUUAGUUGUGUUCACUUUUUUGUUCAUUUGAGAAUGAUAUAUCACAGUUCACAGCAAAACAUCUUUUUAUUCUUA